CUUGUUUGUAUUAACAUGUACCACUGGGAUUAGAACAGUUUAUGCAGUCUUAAGAAGAAAAUCAGAAAAAAGGCAUGACAGGCUUUGGAAACAGAAUUCGAAUUACUGUGUCUCAAGGAAGAGCCAGAUAAUUUACAUAUGCAAUAUGUUCUGCCAUUUUCAUAGACUUUGGAAUGGGCAUAUCAACUACCAAUGCCCAAAAAAGAAACUAAAGAUCAUGGAAGCAUCCCUAAUUCAGACACCAGCACUGGAGCAGGGCACUGCACGAUAG
rnacentral:lncRNA from 1 species